GUACGUCUUCAGGGCGGGGUGCAAGUCCCCACCGGCGGUAGGUUGCGAAAGCGACGAGCCCGCGAGCGUCCGGCAGUCCGCAACGGCGGCCGGAGUCAGCAGAUCUGGUCCAAGUCCAGAGCCGACGGUCAUAGUCCGGAUGAGAGAAGAUGUGC
rnacentral:ncRNA from 2 species